GACGAACGCUGGCGGCGCGCCUAACACAUGCAAGUCGAACGGAGCUGAGAGAAGCUUGCUUUUCUUAGCUUAGUGGCGAACGGGUGAGUAACGCGUGAGUAACCUGCCCUGGAGUGGGGGACAACAGUUGGAAACGACUGCUAAUACCGCAUAAGCCCACGAUCCGGCAUCGGAUUGAGGGAAAAGGAUUUAUUCGCUUCAGGAUGGACUCGCGUCCAAUUAGCUAGUUGGUGAGGUAACGGCCCACCAAGGCGACGAUUGGUAGCCGGACUGAGAGGUUGAACGGCCACAUUGGGACUGAGACACGGCCCAGACUCCUACGGGAGGGAGCAGUGGGGGAUAUUGCACAAUGGGGGAAACCCUGAUGCAGCGACGCCGCGUGGAGGAAGAAGGUUUUCGGAUUGUAAACUCCUGUCGUUAGGGACGAUAAUGGCGGUACCUAACAAGAAAGCACCGGCUAACUACGUG
rnacentral:rRNA from 1 species